rnacentral:tRNA from 1 species
GGAAAAGUGCCUGAAUUAAAGGAUCACUUUGAUAGAGUGGAAUAUGAAUGUUAAAAUCACUCCUUUUCCU